rnacentral:lncRNA from 1 species
UUAUUUGGGUGAGCCAACGUGAAGACUGAUGCAAAUCCAUUCCUGAUGAAGAGCUCUAAGUGUAGACACAAGGGGAAAUAAAGAGAUCCAAUCGAGUAGCCUAGGAAUAGUAUUCUCCAUUCGAUUCUUUCUUAUUUAUUUGAAAAUGCUGGUGAUUACUCUAUGUUUUCUACUAUAUGGAAGUAUAAUGAAUGCUUUGUUAAAUGUUAUCUUAUUAAAUCUUAUUUUUAUUAUUUAAUA